rnacentral:rRNA from 1 species
GACGAACGCUGGCGGCGUGCUUAACACAUGCAAGUCGAACGAAGUGGCGAACGGGUGAGUAACGCGUAAUCAACCUGCCCUUCAGAGGGGGACAACAGUUGGAAACGACUGCUAAUACCGCAUACUGAAGGAGGGGAUUGCGUCUGAUUAGCUAGUUGGAGGGGUAACGGCCCACCAAGGCGAUGAUCAGUAGCCGUGCUGGAAGGAGGAACGGCAACAUUGGGACUGAGACACUGCCCAGAUUCCUACGGGGGGGAGUAGUGGGGAAUCGUCCGCAAUGGACGAAAGUAUGACUGAGCAACGCCGCGUGAGUGAUGACGGCCUUCGGGUGGUAAAGCUCUGUUAAUCGGGACGCGGUACCGGAAUAGAAAGCCACGGCUAACUACGUGCCAGCAGCCGCGGUAAUUC